rnacentral:lncRNA from 1 species
CUGCAUUCCUUUGGACAGCUUUGCUCAUUCCACUGCAAGGCAAAGCUCCACAGAUUUGUAGGAAAAUAUCCAACGGUUUGUUUUGCAGAGCGAGGCUGUGCAGUAGUUUGUUGUAAUUGGCAUGUGAGGCUGGGACAGAAAGGCAGCCAACUUCUGCCAAUUUAUCCUGCUCCGGCAGCAUCUCCCGUGAGCUGAUUGCUAGCAACGUGCAGUGCUGCUCUCAUCAGCUACCUUUGAACUGCUCUGGAUGGAAGCAAGAAAGCAAUCACUGCGUGCUGCGGGCAGGGCGAGGCAGGAGGUUAUUUACUGGGAAUAAGAAAAGAAUGAGUUCUAAAGAGAUGUGAU